GAUGAACGCUGGCGGCGUGCCUAAUACAUGCAAGUCGAGCGAACAGACGAGGAGCUUGCUCCUUUGACGUUAGCGGCGGACGGGUGAGUAACACGUAGGUAACCUACCUAUAAGACUGGGAUAACUUCGGGAAACCGGAGCUAAUACCGGAUAUAUUUCGAACCGCCUGGUUUGAUAGUUAAAGAUGGCUUUGCUUUCACUUAUAAAUUGAACUGCGCCGUAUUAGCUAGUUGGUAAGGUAACGGCUUACCAAGGCAACGAUACGUAGCCGACCUGAGAGGGUGAUCGGCCACACUGGAACUGAGACACGGUCCAGACUCCUACGGGAGGCAGCAGUAGGGAAUCUUCCGCAAUGGGCGAAAGCCUGACGGAGCAACGCCGCGUGAGUGAUGAAGGUCUUCGGAUCGUAAAACUCUGUUAUUAGGGAAGAACAAACGUGUAAGUAACUGUGCACGUCUUGACGGUACCUAAUCAGAAAGCCACGGCUAACUACGUG
rnacentral:rRNA from 1 species